UGCAGCUAUGUACUUCUCAGAUACUUCAGCUGGCAACCGAAGUGCAAAGUCAUAUUGACAAUCGCCGGACGCUCGAGCUGCAGCGUGCAUAAAGUCAGCCCUGCAGAUACAGAUACAGAGUCGUUGCACUUUUUAAAGUGUCGCUCGUACUCCAGCUUGAAAAAAAAACACCCAAUAAGAAGUUGACUGAGACUGAGACUUUCGUCUUCAUUUAAACGCCAGAGUCGGAUUAACACUUAGAACAGUCGGAGUUACAGUGGCACAAUUAUGGAAAUUAAUUAGCACCUUUCCACCUUUCAUUCUAUUUGAUUAAAAAACAACUUAAAAAAGACCCAUUCCAACCACUGUGCAAAAUUACGAAGAACCUGACAUUGACAUGCUUGCAUGCUCCUGACUGAAGACAGAAGCUCCAAGUCCAGGGGAUGAGCAGAUGCCCCUCAUAAAGAACCGGGUGCAGGGAUCAAGCUCAUGCCCCGCGUGGGCGAUGUCUGUGCGUGAUUGGAACUGCGACCGGGAUGAGAUGUGGAGGCUUCUGUGCUGGGGCCCUGGCCAAGCUCUAUUAAUAUCCGACUUCCUACAAUUUGGUGAAUGCGUAAAUUGUAUGUGAAAGGAAAGCUGACUUUAAUGCGUCAUAAUUGAUUCACAAUGCGGAUGGCAAGGCGAUGGCUUGAUUUGAUUAACGCAGAAUGUAGAAUGUAGCUCACGGAUACAUGCUCCCAUCUAUGUAUGUAGCUAUACACACCGGCACACACCCACACCCACUGCAAUUGCAGCUUGACUUACUGCCAAAUUAUUGAUUUUCGCGGCAUCUGCAGUGAGUUCAUGUCGCCAGUAAAUGUGUAUCUUUGUGGGCGGUUGACUUUGCCAUCGCUUUGCUGGAAGCCCUUCAAAGUACUUUUUGCCUUAUUUUUCCAUCACAAUUAUCCGCUUAAAAUGCCAAAGCGGGCCAAAGCAGCAAUGGGCAAAGUAUCUUUAAGAUGCAAUUCAGUUUCGGGGGGAAACUCGAGCCGGUUCGACAUAAUUGAGCGCUGUCGCCGCGGACCCUCGAAAAUACAUUUUCAAUUAAACGCCCAUCAAUGAUCCGACAGUUAGCUCGCACACAAUUGGUUUAUCUCACAGAUACGAAGAUGCUGCGGCGCUCUAAUGAAGAUGAUGCAGCGCAUUUUGUAGGCUGCACGAGUCGGAAUUAAGACAAAAGUCAAGCCAGUCGCAGCCAGAUGGACAAAUGACCAGGAGAUGGGAGAAGUAUCUGACUGAUUCCUCGACAGCUGCCACGAAUCGAAAGGAGAAACUAUAAA